rnacentral:rRNA from 1 species
UACGUAGGGGGCAAGCGUUGUUCGGAAUUAUUGGGCGUAAAGCGCUCGUAGGCGGGACAGGAAGUUCGUGUUGAAAGACCUCGGCUCAACUGAGGGACCGGCUCGAAUACUCUUGUUCUUGAGGCAAUCAGAGGGUGAUGGAAUUCCCGGUGUAGCGGCGAAAUGCGUAGAUAUCGGGAGGAACACCAGUGGCGAAGGCGAUCACCUGGGGUUGUUCUGACGCUGAGGAGCGAAAGCUAGGGGAGCAAACGGG